AUACAGAGGGUGCAAGCGUUAAUCGGAUUUACUGGGCGUAAAGCGCGCGUAGGUGGCCAAUUAAGUCAAAUGUGAAAUCCCCGAGCUUAACUUGGGAAUUGCAUUCGAUACUGGUUGGCUAGAGUAUGGGAGAGGAUGGUAGAAUUCCAGGUGUAGCGGUGAAAUGCGUAGAGAUCUGGAGGAAUACCGAUGGCGAAGGCAGCCAUCUGGCCUAAUACUGACACUGAGGUGCGAAAGCAUGGGGAGCAAACAGGAUUAGAUACCCUGGUAGUCCAUGCCGUAAACGAUGUCUACUAGCCGUUGGGGCCUUUGAGGCUUUAGUGGCGCAGCUAACGCGAUAAGUAGACCGCCUGGGGAGUACGGUCGCAAGACUAAAACUCAAAUGAAUUGACGGGGGCCCGCACAAGCGGUGGAGCAUGUGGUUUAAUUCGAUGCAACGCGAAGAACCUUACCUGGUCUUGACAUAGUAAGAACUUUCCAGAGAUGGAUUGGUGCCUUCGGGAACUUACAUACAGGUGCUGCAUGGCUGUCGUCAGCUCGUGUCGUGAGAUGUUGGGUUAAGUCCCGCAACGAGCGCAACCCUUUUCCUUAUUUGCCAGCGGGUUAAGCCGGGAACUUUAAGGAUACUGCCAGUGACAAACUGGAGGAAGGCGGGGACGACGUCAAGUCAUCAUGGCCCUUACGACCAGGGCUACACACGUGCUACAAUGGUCGGUACAAAGGGUUGCCAAGCCGCGAAGUGGAGCUAAUCCCAUAAAAC
rnacentral:rRNA from 1 species